rnacentral:rRNA from 1 species
GUUGGCCCCACCUGGUCGAGUAGGGGGAGGACUUGGGAGCAGUUGAGCCAGGAACUUUUCCGAAUAACCCCUUCUUCCUCGUCGUUGCCCUAGGCUUCUGAUCCUCUCCGGCCAUGGCGAACGCCGGCGAUCCCGCCUCCCUCCCCCCUUCCGCGUCUCCCUCCUCGUCCACGCGCGCGCUCGAGUCGGUCCCCUUCUCCUCCGGGAACCCCCGCAUCGAGGAGACCCGCGGCGUCGUCCUCCUCCACCCCGACCCACCCGCCGCUGCCGCCGCCGCCUCGUCAUCUCAUCUUCCGGCAGAGAGGAAGCCGCAGGUGUUCGUGCCUUCGGUGCCCAACCACAUGACCUACGCGGACUUCUGCCGCUUCUGCGGCUCCUUCGUCCCCCACAUGCUCGAGAUGCGCAUCGUCAGGAUUGAUGGAGCGGAGGACCAGUAUAGCGUUCUCAUAAAGUUUGACACUCUGAGCUCCACCGAUAGCUUCUACAAGCACUUCAAUGGAAAGCAGUUCUCAUCACUGGAGGGUGAUGUUUCUCAUGUACGUUUUGUGGAAGACGUGCACUACACUCAAUUGAUCGAGCAUGCGCAUAGCUCGAUUACGAGCUCAGCUGAGCAGCCUACCUGCCCAGUGUGUCUAGAGCGACUUGACCAAGAUCCUGGAGGCAUUCUUACUACAAUAUGCAACCAUUCUUUCCACUGUUCAUGCAUAUCAAAAUGGACAGACUCUUCGUGCCCAGUUUGUAGGUAUUGUCAGCAGCAACCUGAGAAAUCAAUGUGUUCUGUUUGUGGAACUUCGGAAAAUCUUUGGAUUUGUCUAAUCUGUGGUAAUGUUGGCUGUGGAAGGUACAAAGGUGGUCAUGCUAUUGAACACUGGAAAGAAACUGAACACUGCUAUUCACUUGAAUUAGAAACACAGAAGGUUUGGGAUUAUGCUGGUGACAACUAUGUCCAUCGUUUGAUUCAGUCCAAAACAGAUGGUAAACUGGUUGAGUACAAUUGCUAUGGUGGUCAUGAAGCAGAUGGUAUCUGUUCAAUAUGCAGUGGUGAUGCAGGAAUGGAUGAAGCUCUACUAAACAGUAAAGUUGAAGCUGUAAUGUACUCCCUCCGUCCGGAAAUACUUGUCAUCAUAAUGAAUAAAAGGGAUGUAUCUAGAUGUAUUUUAGUUCUAGAUACAUAUCUUUUUAUCCAUUUUGAUGACAAGUAUUUUCGGACGGAGGGAGUACUAAGUAAAUAAUCUUUGAUAUUAUUAGCUAUACCACCCUGGUAUGUUUGUGCGUAUCUUCUUUUAUGACUUUGCACUUCUCUUCUUUUAGAUUGUUGAAGAGUACAAUGAUCUCCUCACGUCUCAGCUUGACAAACAAAGAAAUUACUAUGAGUCACUUCUGUCAGAAGUCAAAGAGGAGAAUGAGAAAGAAAUUUCUGCAGCCACUUCGAAAGCUGUGAGCAUGAUGAAACUCCAAAAGUUACAGGCAAAGCUUGAUAAGUGCCUUGAAGAGAAAAGUUUUCUUGAUGACAUCAAUGCCAAUCUUGUGAAAAAUCAGGAGAUGUGGAAAGAAAGGGUUCGGAAAGUUCAAGAAAGGGAACAAGCUGCACUUAAAUUGAAAGAUGAGAAGAUUGAGAAGCUGGAGGCGGAGCUAAGAGAUUUGAUAGCCCAUAUCGAGUGCCAAAACGCUGUGGCAGCAGCUCCUGGAUCAAUCUCAAGUGAUAUACAAGGGGGCACAAUUCUUCCUGGACCGUCUGCACCAUCCUCGAGCAGCAGCCCUGUUCGCCCCACAAAGGACAGGAAGCGGAAUUGAGAUCUGCUUACCCUGACUAGAUUUUUAUGAUUGACUUUAGACUGAUAGGGUACAUUCUUAUCCCAAAUCUCCACCCUUCGCUGCUCUGCUAUUGGUUCUCAGGUCCAUGUCCAUUGGGCACUUAUGAAUUGACAGUUACCCGUUGCCCAUGGUGGCAUUUGGUGUGGAAAUAGUCUCACUGAUGAGGGGACCCGACGUUUGAUUGGACAUUUGCUCAUGGGUUUUUUCAUUGUCCAUGAUGUUGAUAAAAUAUUUGUGUGGGAAG